GACGUAGGGCGCGAGCGUUGUCCGGAUUUACUGGGCGUAAAGAGCGUGUAGGCGGCCAAACAGGUCCGUUGUGAAAACUGGAGGCUCAACCUCCAGACGUCGACGGAAACCGUGUGGCUAGAGUCCGGAAGAGGAGAGUGGAAUUCCUGGUGUAGCGGUGAAAUGCGCAGAUAUCAGGAAGAACACCAAUGGCGAACGCAGCUCUCUGGGACGGUACUGACGCUGAGACGCGAAAGCGUGGGGAGCGAACAGG
rnacentral:rRNA from 1 species